AAGGAGUGCCCGAAUGCGGAGUGUGGUGCGGGGACGUUCAUGGCGAACCACUUUGAUAGGCAUUACUGUGGGAAGUGUGGGCUGACGUAUGUGUACCAGAAGGCCGAAGGUGAGUAAGCUGGUUUGCUCGUUUUGUUGGUUUAGUUUCUGAAAGAACAUUGUUGUGUUGGCAUUCAGUUUCAAGUCUGAUGUUUUAGUUGAGAUGUUGAUGAAUACCUGUUAAUCAGGUUAUUCACCUGUUUGAAUUUUUUCUGGUCUUUUGUUGUCAUGAA
rnacentral:misc_RNA from 1 species